rnacentral:rRNA from 1 species
UACAGAGGGUGCAAGCGUUGUUCGGAAUUAUUGGGCGUAAAGCGCGUGUAGGCGGCUUGGCAAGUCAGAUGUGAAAGCCCUCGGCUUAACCGAGGAAGUGCGUCUGAAACUGCUGAGCUUGAGUCUCGGAGAGGAUGGCGGAAUUCCGCAAGUAGAGGUGAAAUUCGUAGAUAUGCGGAGGAACACCGGUGGCGAAGGCGGCAUUCUGGACCGAUAUUGACGCUGAGGAGCGAAAGCCAGGGGAGCAAACGGG